rnacentral:rRNA from 1 species
AUACGGAGGGAGCUAGCGUUGUUCGGAAUUACUGGGCGUAAAGCGCACGUAGGCGGCUUUUUAAGUCAGGGGUGAAAUCCCGGGGCUCAACCCCGGAACUGCCCUUGAAACUGGGAAGCUAGAAUCUUGGAGAGGCGAGUGGAAUUCCGAGUGUAGAGGUGAAAUUCGUAGAUAUUCGGAAGAACACCAGUGGCGAAGGCGACUCGCUGGACAAUUAUUGGCGCUGAGGUGCGAAAGCGUGGGGAGCAACCAGGAUUAGAUCCCCUGGUAGUCCACGCCGUAAACGAUGAUAACUAGCUGUCCGGGUUCACAGAACUUGGGUGGCGCAGCUAACGCAUUAAGUUAUCCGCCUGGGGAGUACGGUCGCAAGAUUAAAACUCAAAGGAAUUGACGGGG